UUUCGUAGUAACUAUGGACCCGAGGGCAGUUCUCGGCAUCUCCAUCUAAAAAAAUUUUUUUUAAGGGGAUGUUUUUAGAAUUCGACAUAGUACAAUAUUAUGAGA
rnacentral:tmRNA from 1 species